rnacentral:rRNA from 1 species
UAGGGAAUCUUCGGCAAUGGGGGCAACCCUGACCGAGCAACGCCGCGUGAGUGAAGAAGGUUUUCGGAUCGUAAAGCUCUGUUGUAAGUCAAGAACGGGUGUGAGAGUGGAAAGUUCACACUGUGACGGUAGCUUACCAGAAAGGGACGGCUAACUACGUGCCAGCAGCCGCGGUAAUACGUAGGUCCCGAGCGUUGUCCGGAUUUAUUGGGCGUAAAGCGAGCGCAGGCGGUUUGAUAAGUCUGAAGUUAAAGGCUGUGGCUCAACCAUAGUUCGCUUUGGAAACUGUCAAACUUGAGUGCAGAAGGGGAGAGUGGAAUUCCAUGUGUAGCGGUGAAAUGCGUAGAUAUAUGGAGGAACACCGGUGGCGAAAAGCGGCUCUCUGGUCUGUAACUGACGCUGAGGCUCGAAAGCGUGGGGAGCGAACAGGAUUAGAUACCCUGGUAGUCCACGCCGUAAAACGAUGAGUGCUAGGUGUUGGAUCCUUUCCGG